AGUCACUCCAAGAGUAGAAUCAGCAGCUCACCUCACGUUUUAGGAACAAAAUGAGGAAUCACACGUAGACGGACCUGAGCAUUCUCCUGCUCUACGGAGCCCUCUGGAGCUAGAGUUGGGGCUGCUUGACGCUCUUCUCCUUUCGAGUGAAUUGAAUUACUUCGGCUCGGAUGCCUUUGAUCAAAUGGAAGGAUGGAUGCCUGCCUUUAGCGACUUCGUUCGGUCAUUCCUUCUUUACUUGUUCGCUAUGGCUUGAGAGUUAAUCGCACGAGAGAGUAAGUAAGAGAUUGAAAAGAGGAUCAUUGGACCUCGCUNAUCCUUUCGAGUGAAUUGAAUUACUUCGGCUUGGAUGCCUUUGAUCAAAUGGAAGGAUGGAUGCCUGCCUUUAGCGACUUCGUUCGGUCAUUCCUUCUUUACUUGUUCGCUAUGGCUUGAGAGUUAAUCGCACGAGAGAGUAAGUAAGAGAUUGAAAAGAGGAUCAUUGGACCUCGCUCUCGGGCCCAGAGGCAGAGCAAAGAAAGCCUUAGAUCUUUGCUUGUUUCGUGGUAUGGACCAAAGCAAAGGUUCUGCUGCUAUCGACACCUACCCAAUUAACCAAAAGCAUAAUCGAUCGAGACCGAAGCUUAUGCAAUUGUGGAAUUCCGUUCAAAUAGAAAGCUUUUUGGCCAGUUCAAGGUCAGCCGUGAGCUGUAGGAAAAGAUAGUAGCGAACCAGAAGAAAUUCCCGUAGUUGCAUAAGGGGGACGUUGAAAACAUUCCAGCAGAUAGUAUUACACACUCUUAUCAAAACGAGCACUAUACUCUUUCUUAGUUUAGGGCAGAAACAUACUCAAGGAACGCAAAGCUAACCCUCAAAAUGGAAUAUUACCUCACUCAAAGGUUGUUUACUCAGAUAUUUCUUAUCAAAGCGAGGGAUUCGUUUCAGGCGAAAUCAAAUCAGA
rnacentral:lncRNA from 1 species